GAUUGUCAAUUAUUAAUGUUAUUUAAAAAAAACAAUAUCAAAAUUAAAAAAUCAUACUUUCUAUUCAUAUCUUAAAAAAAACUAAAAAAUAAAAUGAAUCGCUUUAUAGUAUUGUUUGCAAUGGCCGUCAUUAGCGUUGCCAUAUUAUCAAGUAAAGUUAAGGCUUACUAUACUCCGGAACAACAAAAGGCAAUGGAUGAAGAAUAAUAAAAUCUUAAUAAUAAUACAGUAUAGUAAUAAGUAAAGUUAAAGUUAUACUAUACACCUCAACAAAUGCAUGAUAUGGAUGAUCCUAACCUUAGUUAAACUGAAUAUAAUUUAUAACUAUCUAUAAUAAGAAAUUAUAUAUGCUAGAAUUUAUAAUUUAAAAAAAAUAUUUUAUUAUAUAAAAAAUUUUAAUUAUUAUUUUUAUUAUUAAA